GAUGAACGCUGGCGGCGUGCUUAACACAUGCAAGUCGAACGGGAAACUUUUCAUUGAAGCUUCGGCAGAUUUGGUCUGUUUCUAGUGGCGGACGGGUGAGUAACGCGUGGGUAACCUGCCUUAUACAGGGGGAUAACAACCAGAAAUGGCUGCUAAUACCGCAUAAGCGCACAGGACCGCAUGGCCCGGUGUGAAAAACUCCGGUGGUAUAAGAUGGACCCGCGUUGGAUUAGCUAGUUGGCAGGGUAACGGCCUACCAAGGCGACGAUCCAUAGCCGGCCUGAGAGGGUGAACGGCCACAUUGGGACUGAGACACGGGCCCAGACUCCUACGGGGAGCAGCAGGUGGGAAUAGUUGCACAAGUCGGGGAACCUGAUGCAGCGACGCCGCGUAGAAGGAAGAAGUA
rnacentral:rRNA from 1 species